CUCAAGUCGUCUUGACUCAAGUCUGCGAAGUGUAGGCGUCAUGGCUGAACUGCGUAAGGUGGU
rnacentral:ribozyme from 1 species